GUGUCAGCCGCCGCGGUAAUACGGAGAGUGCAAACGUUGUUCGGAUUUAUUGGGCUUAAAGGGCACGUAGGCGGUCGGCUAAGUCGGAUGUGAAAUCCCUUGGCUUAACUGAGGAACGGCAUCCGAUACUGGCCGGCUUGAGUGGCGGAAGGGAGAGCGGAACUUCUGGUGUAGCGGUGAAAUGCGUAGAUAUCAGAAGGAACGCCGGUGGCGAAAGCGGCUCUCUGGCCGUCUACUGACGCUGAGGUGCGAAAGCCAGGGGAGCAAACGGGAUUAGAUACCCCGGUAGUCCUGGCCGUAAACGAUGGGCACUAAGUAGAGGAAGUUCCGAUGCUUUCUCUGCUGGAGCGAAAGCGUUAAGUGCCCCGCCUGGGGAGUACGGCCGCAAGGCUGAAACUCAAAUGAAUUAACGGGG
rnacentral:rRNA from 1 species